CAGCAGCCACGGUAAUACGGAGGGUGCAAGCGUUAAUCGGAAUUACUGGGCGUAAAGCGCACGCAGGCGGUCUGACAAGUCAGAUGUGAAAUCCCCGGGCUUAACCUGGGAACUGCAUUUGAAACUGUCAGGCUGGAGUCUUGUAGAGGGGGGUGGAAUUCCAGGUGUAGCGGUGAAAUGCGUAGAGAUCUGGAGGAAUACCGGUGGCGAAGGCAGCCCCCUGGACAAAGACUGACGCUCAGGUGCGAAAGCGUGGGGAGCAAACAGGAUUAGAUACCCCGGUAGUCCCUGUCUCUUAUAC
rnacentral:rRNA from 1 species